UGGGGAAUUUUGCGCAAUGGGGGGAACCCUGACGCAGCAACGCCGCGUGCGGGAAGGAGGCCUUCGGGUCGUAAACCGCUUUCAGCAGGGAAGAUAAGAGACGGUACCUGCAGAAGAAGCCCCGGCUAACUACGUGCCAGCAGCCGCGGUAAUACGUAGGGGGCGAGCGUUAUCCGGAUUCAUUGGGCGUAAAGCGCGCGUAGGCGGCCUGCCAAGCGGGAGCGUCGAAGCCGGGGGGCUCAACCCCCGGAAGCGGCCCGAACUGGCAGGCUCGAGUGCGGUAGAGGAGGGCGGAACUCCCGGUGUAGCGGUGAAAUGCGCAGAUAUCGGGAGGAACACCGACGGCGAAGGCAGCCCUCUGGGCCGCCACUGACGCUGAGGCGCGAAAGCUGGGGGAGCGAACAGGAUUAGAUACCCUGGUAGU
rnacentral:rRNA from 1 species